CCUACGGGAGGCAGCAGUGAGGAAUAUUGGUCAAUGGGCGCUAGCCUGAACCAGCCAAGUAGCGUGAAGGAUGACUGCCCUAUUGGUUGUAAACUUCUUUUGUAUGGGAAUAAAGUGCAGUAUGUAUACUGCUUUGCAUGUACCUUAUGAAUAAGGAUCGGCUAACUCCGUGCCAGCAGCCGCGGUAAUACGGAGGAUCCGAGCGUUAUCUGGAUUUAUUGGGUUUAAAGGGAGCGUAGGCGGGUUGUUAAGUCAGUUGUGAAAGUUUGCGGCUCAACCGUAAAAUUGCAGUUGAUACUGGCAUCCUUGAGUACAGGAGAGGUAGGCGGAAUUCGUGGUGUAGCGGUGAAAUGCGUAGAUAUCACGAAGAACUCCGAUUGCGAAGGCAGCCUGCUGGACUGUAACUGACGCUGAUGCUCGAAAGUGUGGGUAGCAAACAGGAUUAGAUACCCGGGUAGUC
rnacentral:rRNA from 1 species